AUUUUCCAAACAGUCGAACGCCAGCUCCAGCCURGUUUACACCCAGUUACUGCUGCUGCUUGUGAACGUGCCACAACUUGUGUCCUCUGCCAGCUGACCACAGCUUCUCUCCCACCAGCAACCAGCACUUGCAUCACCAAAUCCUCGCUCACCCUGGCAUCUCCUUUUCGCUGAGUUACGAUCUUCCUCUCUGUUGUCAUCUCCCUGCUCUGCCAUGGAGAAAAGGACCCGGACGUGGCUGGGCUUCCACGCAAGAAAGCAAAUAACCAUCAGAAGUCCUUCUACUUCUGUGUCUGUGAAGAAGGAGAUGCUGUGUUCCUAAGGCGGUUCAUCCAAGUCCCAGAGGCAGCACAGCAAGGCUG
rnacentral:lncRNA from 1 species